UACGUAGGUGGCAAGCGUUGUCCGGAUUUAUUGGGUUUAAAGGGUGCGUAGGCGGCCCUGUAAGUCAGUGCUGAAAUAUCCCGGCUUAACCGGGAGGGUGGCAUUGAUACUGCAGGGCUUGAGUGAAGUCGAGGUAGGCGGAAUUGACGGUGUAGCGGUGAAAUGCUUAGAUAUCGUCAAGAACACCGAUAGUGAAGACAGCUUACUAGACUUCAACUGACGCUGAGGCACGAAAGUGUGGGGAUCAAACAGG
rnacentral:rRNA from 1 species